rnacentral:rRNA from 1 species
CCUACGGGUGGCAGCAGUGGGGAAUAUUGGGCAAUGGACGCAAGUCUGACCCAGCAACGCCGCGUGAAGGAAGAAGGCUUUCUGGUUGUAAACUUCUUUUAAGGGGGAAGAGCAGAAGACGGUACCCCUUGAAUCAGCCACGGCCAACUACGUGCCAGCAGCCGCGGUAAUACGUAGGUGGCAAGCGUUGCCCGGAUUUACUGGGUGUAAAGGGCGUGCAGCCGGAGAGACAAGUCAGAUGUGAAAUCCACGGGCUCAACCCGUGAACUGCAUUUGAAACUGUUUCCCUUGAGUGUCAGAGAGGUAAUCGGAAUGCCUUGUGUAGCGGUGAAAUGAGUAGAUAUAAGGAAGAACACCAGUGGCGAAGGCAGAUUACUGGACGAUAACUGACGGUGAGGCGCGAAAGCGUGGGGAGCGAACAGGAUUAGAUACCCGGGUAGUC